UACGGAAGGCAGCAGUAGGGAAUCUUCCGCAAUGGACGAAAGUCUGACGGAGCAACGCCGCGUGAACGAUGAAGGCUUUCGGGUCGUAAAGUUCUGUUGUUAGGGAAGAACAAGUACCGGAGUAACUGCCGGUACCUUGACGGUACCUAACCAGAAAGCCACGGCUAACUACGUGCCAGCAGCCGCGGUAAUACGUAGGUGGCAAGCGUUGUCCGGAAUUAUUGGGCGUAAAGCGCGCGCAGGCGGUCCUUUAAGUCUGAUGUGAAAGCCCACGGCUCAACCGUGGAGGGUCAUUGGAAACUGGGGACUUGAGUGCAGAAGAGGAGAGUGGAAUUCCACGUGUAGCGGUGAAAUGCGUAGAGAUGUGGAGGAACACCAGUGGCGAAGGCGACUCUCUGGUCUGUAACUGACGCUGAGGCGCGAAAGCGUGGGGAGCGAACAGGGAUUAGAUACC
rnacentral:rRNA from 1 species